AGAGCAGUGAGGCCUAGUCAGUGAGGUGU
rnacentral:piRNA from 1 species